rnacentral:sRNA from 1 species
AUUAAACAGAAUGUGCAUUGUACAUCUUUAAACAAAAUGUAUAUUAAUUUAUUAAAUCUAGUUGUCACUUUAUUUUGGACCUGCUGUGAUCUCGACAGGAAACGUGCCACAGAGCAGUAGUGCACAGGCAAGACUUUUCAGUGACGCCUUGUGGAACGCAGUUCAUGAUGUCCUAGCAGCUCUCACUAAGGGAACUGUACAUUCUUUCUUUCUUGGCUAUUCAGACCUUACCAAGAACGUUAAAGGAAACAAGUAGAAAUCAGCAGUGGAGUGUCUGUGGUGAUUUUUCUCCCCUUAGUACUCUGGAGAAACAAUGAAGAUGGGCCAUCUCAAUUCCAGAUGUAAACAAAAAGUAAUUUUUAUUUCAACAUUUAAUGUAACUGUUGUUAUUGUGGAUUCUUGUCUUGUGUAUUUUGUUUCCCUUAUUCAAGUAAUAUAGAAUAACUUUCCUUAAAAUGAUUUGAUCCAAGAUACAUCAUUUCUGUAUUGGCAAAAUGCCACUAUUAAAGUGUAAUUCUUGAAUUUAGGUUGAAUUGAUGACUUUUUAAAACAAAACAGAAACACUGGGCAUUUCUACAUUGUAUUGCGUUUGCGAAUGUGCGUGAACACACGCACACGUGCAGGAGAAUGUAGUGCCAUAAGAACACUGGCGCUUUUUAAAACUUUCCAAGCUAGCUACUUAUUUUCAUUUUUCAGGGUUGAGUACUCUAAGCUCUCUACUUACUGUGAGAAGUUUUCUACAUUGUAAAAUUAAAAGAUUAUAUUUAAAAUACUCCUUUAGGAUGUUAUUCAGCCAUCAAAAAAAGAAAAACAACUAAAAUGUCUUACCACUAAAGUAUUAUAUUAAAAGCCUCAUUUGUGGAGAUUCGCUGACUUCCUUAGUUAAGCUGUCUUGUAUUUACUUAAUUUGUUCCCUCAACCAGGUGUUUUCUUUUCAGCCUGUUACUGUCCUGUGCCAUUUUUAAAAAUAGCCAUCAUGAGUAAGGGCUUCUUUAAAAUAAUCCCUGACAAUAUCUUUGGCAUUAAUACCACAUAAAGAUAAGACAGUGUAUGUAUGUUUUCAUUCCUGUUUUGUACGAGUGCUACAUUUUGUAGUCAUGAAAGUAACAUAGUACCUUAAAUAAAAAUGUAAUGACUAAUCUAAGGUCUAGGAAUAACUAUUGUAGAAGCUAAGUAGAACACUUAGUUUGGGGUGUCAAUUUUCUAUCAACGCAAACACCUUAGGGUACCCAGACCAAUUUUAUGUAUAUAUAUUCUGAAAUGCUCCCUUUUUUAUGUGGUCAUUUGUUGCCUUCUAAGUUGAGAGGACAAAACUGAAUAAAGUGAAUGUUAGUUGUA